GACGGAGGAGGCUAGCGUUGUUCGGAAUUACUGGGCGUAAAGCGCGCGCAGGCGGUCUUGCAAGUCAGGGUGAAAGCCCGGGGCUCAACCUCGGAACUGCCUUUGAGACUGUGAGACUCGAGACCGAGAGAGGAGAGUGGAAUUCCCAGUGUAGAGGUGAAAUUCGUAGAUAUUGGGAAGAACACCAGUGGCGAAGGCGGCUCUCUGGCUCGGUACUGACGCUGAGGCGCGAAAGCGUGGG
rnacentral:rRNA from 1 species